GCAACAGAAAGAAAUAAACCAGAAAUAAAUAUUUAGAGAUUAAACAGCUGGUUAAUAAACCAAGAAGUAUUCUUUUCAUCCUUCUACCAUCUGAUUUGUGAUUCCAGAACGUCCAGAAGAGAGAGAUUUAAAUUGCUUUCAGCUAAGCUGUAGACCUCUAGCAGAUGAACGACAUAUUUUCCUGAAGGGUGUGAAGAGGAUACUGACCCACCAGAAAGAGACCCCACUGCUAGAACGAAUAAGAUGUGCUGAAAGCCGGAGCAUAACUUGGCCAUUCCCAAGAUUUAACAACAAACUAACUACCCAUCAUUAACAGUAAAGCAGAAAGAAAACAAUCAGUAAGAGAUUAUAUAGACCUAAGAGAUGUUACAGACCGAAGAAGAACCUAUGGUGAGUGGCGUUUUAGAGUGUGGGUACUGCAUCCUUAUCAUGACCUUAGAAGCCUCUUUCUGGCUCAAAAAGACUGGGAGAAAGUCUAUGAAAAAAAGGUUUUCAUCUAGAAGUAGAGUUACAGGAAAUUUAUUAAGAGGCUAAUCUGGAACUCAAAAAAUUACAAACAAACAUUAAUAUUUUGAAAUCAAACUUAAAUUCGUGAUUAAUUAAAAAGGUAUCUUAGGCCGGGCACGGUGGCUCACGCCUGUAAUCCCAGCACUUUGGGAGGCCGAGGCGGGCGGAUCACGAAGUCAGGAGAUGGAGACCAUCCUGGCUGACACGGAGGAAGACAGGAAGAUGAGAGAGAUUUGAAGAUGGUAUGUGGCUGAAUUUGAAGAUAGAGAAAGGAACCGCAAGCAAAGAAUGCAAGAGGUCUCUAGAAGCUGGAAAAGGCAAGGAAAGAGUCUCCCCUCAAGCUCCAGCAGGAAUGCAGUCCUGACACCUUGAGUUUAGCCUAGUGAGACUUCUGACCUCCAGAACUAGAAGAUACAAGUGGUGUUUUAAGGCACUAAAACGAAGAACUAGAAGUAUUGUUUUAAGCCCAUAAAUUUGUGAUAAUCUGUUACAGUAGUAAUAGGCAAUGCAUACACAAGCACACAAAGUAAAAUUUUUCUGUGGUUAUUUUCCAUAUUUUUUCAGUUAUUUUCUGCCUUUUGAAGACAUUAAAGACAUAAAAUGAAUAUGUAUUAGUUUAGGAAUAAAAUUUAAAAUGUAGGAAUGCUAUAAAAGAAGAAAAAAUUUUAACUGGGCUAAAGCAAACCCAGUAUGUCAUCCUAUUACAUCAGCUUCUUCAUCUUUGGAUGAAGAGGUUGGUGACUGUUUCUUCUAAUGUGAGAAUAGCUCCAAAUUGCUAAAUUGUUCAGAAUUUGACAAGAUGAAAGAGGAAAGAAAAAGGAAAUCUUGAAAACAUUUACUGUUUCCUUGUUCAAUGGAUAACACAUGGAUUCCUGAUUGGGAGAUUUUUCCUCUUGCUUUGAUCUGAAGGCAGAAGGAAAUAUAUUCAUUAUUGUUUAAAAGAAUACAUUUUAACCUAACUUUAAAACAUUCAUGAUAUAUUUGUGAACCAUAAUCUUAUUACCCCAACCUAGAAGUUAUUUUGAUCACUAAACUUCCUUUUCAAUAUCUUCAUAUAUGUGUCUUUACAUACUUUAAAUAAAAAAUAUAUAAUUGUAUAACGUUUUAUUAUUUUAUUUAAUAUUUAUCACUUCUAAUAAAUAUAUGUAA
rnacentral:lncRNA from 1 species